rnacentral:rRNA from 1 species
UACAGGGGGGGCAAGCGUUGUUCGGAAUUACUGGGCGUAAAGGGCGCGUAGGCGGCCUGCUAAGUCGAACGUGAAAUCCCCGAGCUCAACUCGGGAACUGCGUCCGAUACUGGCAGGCUUGAAUCCGGGAGAGGGAUGCGGAAUUCCAGGUGUAGCGGUGAAAUGCGUAGAUAUCUGGAGGAACACCGGUGGCGAAGGCGGCAUCCUGGACCGGCAUUGACGCUGAGGCGCGAAAGCCAGGGGAGCAAACGGG